rnacentral:rRNA from 1 species
CGGGGCCCGUGAUAAUUAAACUCCUGCUUCUGGUCAUAAAUCUCGCACGCUUCCGUCGUCACGCCCGAGCCCGUCCUCGUCCUGUGCAGCUCACACGGCUCUCGGUGAAGCGUCUGUUUGAAGGAGGGGCCAAAGUGGUACAGCUUCCUGCACCGGCGGCUGUAGGGGCGGCGGCUCCGCGGCCGCUUUGCGCGCGGGGAGUUGUUCAUGCGGGAGCGGACGCGGUAAGAGCGGAGGUACUUGAGGUAGGAGGAGCCGAUACCAAGCACGUGGAGAGUGAUCGAAAGCAUAGGACACUAUGCGCGCAUACACGUCGAUGAUUGUAAGAACACAAACACGCACGCGCGCGCCGCGCUACCUCGUAUACAGAGCCACUACUCGCCGCGCGUCUAUAAGUACUUCUCCCUGGACUUCUAGUGCCUGCGCGUCUAGCUCCAGGAGCGGCCGUAGUAGUUGUAGAAGAGCGAGCAGCCGAGCGAGCGCCGCCCGGCGUGCAGGCUGACCUAGCCGGCCGCCAUGUGGUACCAGGAGCGCAGCCAGUAGAAGAAGCGCCCUCGGGAGUAGUACCCGGAGCGGGGCUCGAUGCGCCAGGAGUACGAGCCGGCGAAGCAGCGGCCGCAGCCGCAGCCGAUGCGCGAGUACUAACGCGGCCACAUGUGCCGGCUCCAGCGGGGGUGGAGGCGGGCGCCGGACGAGUGCAGGAAGGGACUCCACAAGUAGUUGUGGCCCCACGAGGAGCCCAUGUAGAGGUUGAUGCGGAAGGUGCCGGACGGGCACGUGGAGUCGACCGCGCGGUACAAGGAGCGCCCGCGGCACGGCGGCCAGAAGGAGCGGCAGCCGCAGGAGCGGUACGGUCUCAGCGGCGCCACCGAGCAGUACGUCCCCGCGUAGCCGCUGCGCGCGGCGCACGAGCUCUUCUGGAGGCUGAGGGGACUCCUCCGGCACCUCGCCGAACGGCUGUAGUUCUCGCGGCAGCCGUAGGGGCUUCCCUAGCGGCUGCUGUUAUUGCUGCUCAACGAGCGGUAGCAGGCGUUCUUGUUCCCGUGGGUGCCGCUCCCGCAGGACUCCCUGGACGACGAGGUGGGCUGCGGAGGGCACGCGGCGUAGGACUAGCGGACGGAGCCGGAGGUCAAGAAGGUCGUUCGGAGGCCGUAGCUGAGGCACCACGACAUGUCGGGUGCCCACAAGCUCUUCCGGCCGUAGUUCAGGCUGCGGUUGUGUGAGCCUCGGUGGUAGAGCCACCCGCGCUGGUUCUGCGAGAAGUAGGAGCACCGGUGCAAGGAGGAGCUGGCGCAGCCGGCCUCCGGCGACGAGGAGUGGUCGCGGCCGCCCUACCAACACAGCGAGCACUGCGACCGCAGCUGCGAGGUGCACUAGCGCGUCGCCCGGAGUGGCCGCCUGCCCCGCUGCCGCGACAGCCCCCACUCGUAGCGCAGCCACGACUACAAGCACCGCAGCAAGAGCUAGCCCUACCCCGGGUAGCGCACCCACAUGUCGAGCCUCUAGAAGGGCGACGCCGACGCUCGCGUCCCCACGCGCGAGCCGUGCCGCUACUUGGCCUAGUACUCGCCUCGGUAGUGGUACAGGAAGAUGAGUGAGAGGGUGUUCUAGUGCGAGCGGCCCUUGAAGAUGGAGAUGCGGUCGUAUCGACGGCGGCCCACCCACAAGUACAAGACGAAGGACGGCCUCUGCUCCCCGGCCCCGGACCUCCUGUGGCUCUUCGAGAAGCCACCACCGCUACCGCACCUCUUCCUUCUGCCGGUACCCGUACGGCUCAGGUGCCUCAACUGAUGAGUCAUCACUCAGUUGUGACAUACGCCAUGAUGACAAAUCGCCAGCAGGUUUUCGAAGUUAUUGAUAGACUUAUAAGUAUGAACACUCAAACCUAAGACGGCCAGUUUCUACCUACGCGGAUACAUGCCAGUUCCGAUUAGGGAGGCAGAGUACUAAAUUUUACAAAAAACGUGUGUUGUGUUUACAAUUUUUUGUAGAAUGUUAAAUUCUAUUCGGUUGUUGAUGUAUUCUCGGUUUAAACUAGAAGUCAUUGUACAACUUAUGAGCAUGAACACUAAGCUUAGGACUUACAGUCUAAAGAUCAUUACCUACCUACCUAAGACGGGCAGUCUAAAUAUUGUUAAUGAUAAUAGUUACAUGACAGUUUUUACGAGAAUAUACUACCCUACCUCCCUCAUGAUUC